AUACAGCUCAACUAGACAUAAAUAGACCACGAAUUGGUCCUUACUAAAAUUGGAUCUCGCCUAAAUUUUGUCUUGUGCGCCUUUCACUUCUCUACUUUAGAAACCCUAAUCUCAAACAUCAUCAAGCAGCACUCUGCUUUGUGUCUUCCUCUCUGCAUCGAUGUAUCUCUUUCUUUCAACAUUAAAUCAGACUUGAUUCAAACACCACUCACAACCUCCAGACUACUAAUCAUCGCUAUCGAACACCUUUUACCACCAGCACACCAUCAAAUAAAGACUGCAGCUUCACCACUUUCGCCCUUCAUUUCUCUCUAAAAUACCCCAAACCAACGUUGGCUUCAUCACUAGCUGCUUGAAAUAGGUGUCACCCUCUGUGUCUCUUUCAUUUGUUAUCAUUGCUCCUCUCAAAUGAUGGCCAAAAGCAGUCUAUAAAAAAAGCCUUCACACAAACAAUCUUCCACCGUCUCUAAUUCACUUCUAAAGAAUUCCAUUCAGAAGUAAUUUUUUCCGAAGACCUCUACAAGAUCCUAUUUUCUUUUAACCAAUUCAAGGUAUGUGUCUUUUGUUUCCAGUUUUAUCCAGACCACAAUAAGCAACCUUCCUCACGUCUAUCAUAUCUCCCCACCAACCUACGUUCCCACUUUCAAAAUCCAUCGACGAUCUUGAGAGUUGAUGCCUUUUUUCAUUUGGUGGUGUUUGGUGUCAUGUGUGCGUGUGUAAUGUUUUCUGCUAUUUGAUGGUGCCUCCCUCACAAAAUCUGAAUAGCCAUCUUCACCAAUUGUAAACAAGAAAAAAUGAAAUCAACUGGAAAGAUAGAGGAAGAAGUUGGUGUUUUUUUUUUCUAUGAUUAUGUUUGCUAGAAAACUACACGCUUCAUACUUUGAACAUGCUUUUGCUUCCAACACUGAACAUUUUCCAUAUGAUAAGAUGCCAACAUUUUCUCCCAACCAACGCCUAACACAUUAUAAUUCCCCCAAAUUCCAAUUCAUUUUACUAAUUAAUUUCAUCACUUACUAACUCGUUGAUUGGCUUGAAGGUUCAUAUUGGUAUAACUUCGUGGGUGAGAGGGGAUAAUCAACUUGAAUGGCCACUACAUCCUCAAGUCUUCUUUCUAUAUCUCUAAAUAUAGAGAAAAAGAACUUUGUGAUUUAUUUAUGUGUAAUAACCUUGCUUAUAACCAAUAUAAUUUUUAUGCGUUUUUAUAUUAAAAAAAAUCAUUUUUUGACCUAUCCUUUUGGCAGGAGGCAACUUGUGGAUUACUGUAAAUUUCAUAUGAGAUAGCAAAAGAAGUUGUUGCUGUCAAAAGUGCUCAAUAUAUUGUUGAAGCCAAACCCCAGUCACAUAGUUCGUGGACCGCUCGGGUACGGGAACGAGGACCUGGAACAUUGUUCGCUAGGUUGGAUGUAUCGGGUACAGUUGGGGUAGGUCCAUUUCGGUACGUCCCAGUUUUUGGGAAGCCAACGAUUGGAUCGUAGAUCAUGGCAUGUUCGGCGAAUUCUGUGACCAUGGCUUUGGCAAGGCAGUUUUUAACGAUUUUAUCUUUAAAGAUGAUUCCUUUAGCUUACUUAUAUGUCUUCUGGUGUUGCCCUUGCUGUGUAAUACAGGGGAGGUUUGCAUUAACUGAAAAAUAUAUCAAAAGUAUUUGCAUUGUUAGAAAUAAGUUGUGAUUCGCUUUAGAUGCCCUUUUAAAGGUAUCUAUAAUAAAAGUUGUAAUUGACAUAUCCAUAUAUGAACCUUCAGUUUAUAUACAUCCUACUGGUUUGGUAAAAAGAUUGUGUAAGAAGAUGGAGUUCUU